CACUCACUUUUCAAUUUUUCACUUCCUUUUCUCUCUCUUUUCUCAUUCAUCUUAAUGUUUGAUAUUGCUGAAUCACUGAAUGUGUUCAUGAUCAAUUGUGUUGCCACUGGGAUUACAAGGUCGUGGCUCACUGAUCUUAUCCCAGCUGAUUCCACACUAUUCGCACCACUUAUGCUCAUCAGGUUCCAUUUUUUCAAUUAUUGAAUGAUAAUUGAGGAUUUUUGAGUUAUAGAUUGGAGUUACUUUUCCAUAUCUUUUGGGUCGCAAAAAGUUCUCCUCCAAAUUUGUAGGAGCUUUAACGGUGAAAAUGAUUUCAAGUGUGAUUUCUUUAUCAAGACGGAAGACGGAUUGUUGAAGGAGGAAGAUUGCGUACAGGCUCAGAACAAAAUAUAUUGAAAUGCAGAGUGAGAUAGUGUAAAGUACUCAGAGUAGGUUAUUUUCUCUGUUGUGGAAGUCAUUACCAGGCUUGCCCAACCGCUAAACACACUGAUGUUGCAUGUGUAAAUCCCAGUUUGCUAUACUAUUUUUGUUAAUGUAUGUUUCUGAAUUGGUUUUAUAAAAGAAUCUUUAUUUUUCUAUUUCUUUAUUCUCUUCUGCAUGCCAAUGCUACUUGUUCACCUUUCACGAUCAACUGGCACUUUAUAUGUUUGGUCAAUUUUUGUAUAUAUCCACUUUAGCUUCGUUCUAUCACGCGCAGUUUUGUGGAAAGUAAAAACUGAUACAGAUUGAAUAGAUUUAUAUUCAUUAUCUUAGUUUUUCUAUAUAUUUAACCACUUAAUGGAAUAAAAAAAAAUUCAGGUCCCAAGAAGAUAUGUCUUUGAACAUGAUAGACUACAUUGUGAUGAUCAUGGAAUGAUGUUGAUUCUGACUGUUUGAAGAAAGUAAAGGUUUGGAUUAAAAGAACACAUGUUAACUUAUGAUGCCUUUUUACAUCUGUUAAAUCAGAUUUUCCCUCUAAAUUUAUCUUUCUUUAAGCCAUAAUUUACUAUGGAUUUGGAAUUUCUUCUUCUUGAGCUGUGCGUCAUGCUUUCAAAAUUAUAUCAUGUAAGAUUGACAACUUUUCACGCUGAUCAUUAUCAUGACCUUUUCGGUAUGCUGUGGAAUUUAAUUUUGAAUUCUGGGGGUAGUUUUGCUUUCAAGCUCCACCUUUGACUAUCCUUUGAAUGGUAUUGAAUCUCUCUUCUUUUAUACACGGGGAAUGAUAGUUGCUUUUGAGAAAGGUAAAUCACUGGUAAGUAUUUUUAAUGGGAUGAUUUCAGUGAAUAUGUUAAGAUAUUAAAUACUCCUUCCGUCCCAUUUUAAGUGUACUAGGCACGAAGUUUAAGAAAUAAAGAGAGACUUCUGAAAUAUCAUUUUAUCUUGUGAUUAUAAACUUGUCAUGUAGGAUGUUUGAAUUGUCAACCUACUAAAUAUAGAAAGAGACACUCUUUUUGGAAAAUACCAAAAAGGAAAGUAAGUCACUUAAAUUGGGACGGAGAGAGUACCUAAUAUUUGAAAACAUGUGCUGAAUAUUUUCUCUUUAUAAUGACUUGCUAUACAGAGCUUGAAAGAGAAGCAGUUCUUGUAUGACAUUGUUGCUAAUGGGCGAAGUGGAAUAGAUGUUGACAAAUUUGAUUACAGCGAGCGUGACACCAGAGCUUAUGGUCUUAGGUACAAUUUUCAGUUCCAGAGGCAUGAUCUUUGUAUUCUAUUUGAUCCUUCUAUUUUCUAAAACUGAAGAAUUGGUCCCAAAAUCGCUACUAACUCUGGAAAAGUCAAUACUACCUUUUUGUUACUUGCUAACUAAUGGAAACAAUGCGUGUUGUAGACAUCGAGAUAUCUUAUCGGGGCGAAGGAAUGUUAGUAUUCUUGAAAUUAUUAUGCUACAUGAAACAUUAACAUCUUUCAAAUAUAGUCAGGUACAACUUAAUGUGUCUUCUUCCUGGUAUCAUAUAUUUCUACGAUUUUAAUCAUUUUGUUCUGUUGUUAUGUAGUAUGAGGAUAGUGUACAACUUGAAUACCUGCAAAAUUGCAGAGGAUUCCUUGUGACGACAGCACUGGCUUAUGGCAAUGAAAACACUCCUGUUAACUAGGAGCCAAUCCAGAAGAAAUUUUAGACAGCCAUACUUACAGCUUUGUUUAUGCCAUCAUCUAUGAAGGAUCCAAUACUCAGUAGAUGCCUGUUUCGAGAGAUAAAAUAAUGUCAAAUUGGGCUGUUCCAAUAGGUGAUUUGACUUUAAGAAUCACUAGCAUCAAUGCAAUUAAUUUUGAUCAGCUUCUUCAAGAGGGCCAAUGUCCUUUUAUGCAAUUUAAGGUUGGAAAAGUAAGAAUUUGCAAGUUUCUUCUACUCUUCCCCUAGCUUGCUCGGCUUGGGUGAUCACAUCCUGUUACUCCAACUUUUUCAGAAAUGGUAGCAGGCUGACUACAGCACAGACUAUGUAAAGAGAACAAUUUACAGGGUCAUUCCUCUUCUGUGAUAAAAACAGAUGAGGGUUAGAUGCUUGUAAACAGUGUUGCCGGUCAUCAACUAAUAGUGUCACAGCCCAUUUAUUGCAUAAUGCAUGUGUAGUUGAGAUAUUGUGGGAAUGCCAAGUUUAGCGAAGAUUGAGGAACUAAAUAUCCUUAGACCAAGGAAAGUACCAUAUGCUUGAGAGUAGAGGUAAUUUAACUCAAUUAUCCUAUCCAUUUUGCUUGAUCAUUUCUUGUACAUGACAUAGCGGGGUUACCGUCAGCCUGGUAAGCAAAUUCAAGAAGUAACUUCAAACAGGAAAAAGAAAGAAACCGCAAUAAUUCGACCACCAGAAAUCACGACAGCAAGAUAGAAGCUGGGAAAGAAUCCUAGCUAGAAAGGGAGGUAGUAGCAUUACAAUGGUGGUUUGACAGAUUGGUCUACAUGUGCAUGGCCUGUCUUCGACGCAAAUUUUUGCUGCUCGGAUAGGACAAUAUUGUAUAUCAUCACUUAAGCUUUGUGAUGGGAGGGUGCAAAAUCUUGCCUUGGCGAUUCAUGAAUCGACCCAAUGGAUGUGUGUCUAAAGAAUGGUCAGAUGGUUCUUGGUCUCAAUCUCUACCAAAAAAGAAGAAUGAAUGAAUGAAUGUUUUCGGAGGCUACUUUUCAGUGCUUAAUUUGAUCACCAAAGGCCUUUACAGUAAGCAAGAGAGUUACGUAUCGGCAGACUCUUAGUUUUAUCUAUGUGAGGUUUUCAUAGUUGACACCUUUAUAAUAUUCUUUUUGAUUGCUGUAGUUGAGUUUUCACAUGAUUUCCUGUAUGUUUUUCUUAAGGGCUGCAAAAUAUGAAUCAUUUGAUUUACUUCUGUGAAA